GAUGAACGCUGGCGGCGUGCCUAAUACAUGCAAGUCGAGCGAACGGACGAGAAGCUUGCUUCUCUGAUGUUAGCGGCGGACGGGUGAGUAACACGUGGAUAACCUACCUAUAAGACUGGGAUAACUUCGGGAAACCGGAGCUAAUACCGGAUAAUAUUUUGAACCGCAUGGUUCAAAAGUGAAAGACGGUCUUGCUGUCACUUAUAGAUGGAUCCGCGCUGCAUUAGCUAGUUGGUAAGGUAACGGCUUACCAAGGCAACGAUGCAUAGCCGACCUGAGAGGGGGAUCGGCAACACUGGAACUGAGACACGGUCCAGACUCCUACGGGAGGAAGCAGUAGGGAAUCUUCCGCAAUGGGCGAAAGCCUGACGGAGCAACGCCGCGUGAGUGAUGAAGGUCUUCGGAUCGUAAAACUCUGUUAUUAGGGAAGAACAUAUGUGUAAGUAACUGUGCCCAUCUUGACGGUACCUAAUCAGAAAGCCACGGCUAACUACGUG
rnacentral:rRNA from 1 species